rnacentral:rRNA from 1 species
GUGAGUAACGCGUGGGAAUCUACCUGGUAGUGGGGGACAACAGUCGGAAACGACUGCUAAUACCGCAUACGCCCUUCGGGGGAAAGUGGGGGAUCUUCGGACCUCACGCUAUCAGAUGAGCCCGCGUCGGAUUAGCUUGUUGGUGAGGUAAAGGCUCACCAAGGCGAUGAUCCGUAGCUGGUCUGAGAGGAUGACCAGCCACACUGGGACUGAGACACGGCCCAGACUCCUACGGGAGGCAGCAGUGGGGAAUAUUGGACAAUGGGGGCAACCCUGAUCCAGCCAUGCCGCGUGUGUGAAGAAGGCCUUCGGGUUGUAAAGCACUUUCAGCUGUGAGGAAAGGCGAGUGGUUAAUACCCGCUUGCUGUGACGUUAACAGCAGAAGAAGGACCGGCUAACUCCGUGCCAGCAGCCGCGGUAAUACGGAGGGUCCGAGCGUUAAUCGGAAUUACUGGGCGUAAAGCGCGCGUAG